GUGUAACCUGUGGAUAUAAACGAGAAUAAUGUAGAUUUAUUCAGUAUGACAAUUGAGUUUAACUGGAAUUAAGCGUUUAAGGCAUACGGUGUACAGCUUACAUUUGUGGCUCCAGUCAUCCUCGGUGCUGUGAGCUGAAGAAUCUGUUUGGACGGCCAAUGAAGGAUAAUGGCAUGAACCGUAUUGUUUUUGGCCGUGUACCUAUAAUAGGACCAAGAAGUCUUAUGUUACAUCAAAGAUUAUAUCACAUUUACUUUUUUGUCCAGACCAAGUGGAAAUGUGUCUUUGGCUUCUACAACACAGUUUGAAAACAUAGCAAUAUACAUAAUACAAAAGUGCAAAUGGUCAUGUAGCAGUGGAAAUAAUAAAGAGAGAACAUUUUAUAGAUGCCUAUAUUUCAAGUGACAAUGGCCUCACAUAGAGACAGAAGAUGGAGUGAAAAAACACAAAGUCACAAUCUCACCACACAGUGCUGUUUUCCAUCUGGACCCUCCAUGGUUUGGUAGCAUAGAUGGCCUCUCCAUUUAUCCCCAACCAGGCACCAAGAUCCCUCAGCCUCUCCUCAAACACCGGGGCAAUCAUGCCAUCUGCCAUUGGCCCGAUAUUCAGCAGGUGAUGUCCUACUAUGAACUCUCACCUUUACGAUUGACGGCAGGUUCAUGACUUCGCUCAGCUUCAUGUCUCUUCUGUAGCCCCAGGAUCGGGUGUCGAGGGACUGGCAUUUCUCCCAUUUGUGGUCUGGAAGUUUACCAGAUGCAGCAUCCUGCUCCUUAUCUUCUCACCUUUUCCUGACAGCCGCAGCCAGGUCUCCCACCAGGUCCCGGUGAGGACCCACAUCCAUUGAGUUCCAGUUCCAGGAGACUGCUGAGGGCCAGUUUGUGAAUCCUUCAUGGUGUUUGGAUGUGAACACAACAUACCUGUAGAGACACACACUUAAAUUCCCUUACAAAUAUCAGGAACAAGGAAAUGAGAAGUUAUAAUAACAGAACAUAAGACCCCAAAAAGUGAAUCAGAUUACUCUAAAGCAUUUUGUUAAAAUAAAGUAAACUGGACAUUGACACACUUUGGAAAAAAUUGGUUUAAAUUACAACAACAAAUCUAGUUAAUGAGUUUCACAAUAUUAAAAAAGGACCAAUUCAACCCGUGUGCAAUGAAAUGGAUCAGGGACCUAUACUUGUCUUUUUAUAUGACAUAGUGCCACUAACUGCAGGCAAGCCUAUACAUGACACCUGCAGGUGUAGCUGUAUAAACAGAGACUUUGCUUUAGUCCUUAUCCAAAUCACAUUUGUAUGGCACAACGAAUAGAUCUCAUGACUGUACCUGGCUCCAGAGGCUUUGAAUAUGUCUGCCCAGAUUUCCGGAUCAAAGAAUUCUGCACGAAACUCAGGCGCAAAGUCGGUAUAUUUAAAACCAGGCGGGUAGUUUUUCUUCAUGAACUCCACUAGUUCUGGCUGCUUUUCUGAGUGCCACCGCUGCCAGAACCACUCACUGAACUGCCCGAAGC